rnacentral:rRNA from 1 species
AGGACGAACGCUGGCGGCGUGCUUAACACAUGCAAGUCGAACGGUGAAGCCCUUUCGGGGGUGGAUCAGUGGCGAACGGGUGAGUAACACGUGAGCAACCUGCCCUUGACUCUGGGAUAACUCCGGGAAACCGGAGCUAAUACCGGAUAUGACACGCGAAGGCAUCUUCUGCGUGUGGAAAGAUUUAUUGGUCAAGGAUGGGCUCGCGGCCUAUCAGCUUGUUGGUGGGGUAAAGGCCUACCAAGGCGACGACGGGUAGCCGGCCUGAGAGGGCGACCGGCCACGACUGGGACUGAGACACGGCCCAGACUCCUACGGGAGGCAGCAGUGGGGAAUCUUGCGCAAUGGGCGAAAGCCUGACGCAGCCAUGCCGCGUGAAUGAUGAAGGUCUUAGGAUUGUAAAAUUCUUUCACCGGGGACGAUAAUGACGGUACCCGGAGAAGAAGCCCCGGCUAACUUCGUGCCAGCAGCCGC